rnacentral:rRNA from 1 species
AUUGAACGCUGGCGGCAGGCCUAACACAUGCAAGUCGAGCGGAUGAAGGGAGCUUGCUCCUGGAUUCAGCGGCGGACGGGUGAGUAAUGCCUAGGAAUUUGCCUGGUAGUGGGGGAUAACGUCCGGAAACGGGCGCUAAUACCGCAUACGUCCUGAGGGAGAAAGUGGGGGAUCUUCGGGCCUCACGCUAUCAGAUGAGCCUAGGUCGGAUUAGCUAGUUGGUGGGGUAAAGGCCUACCAAGGCGACGAUCCGUAACUGGUCUGAGAGGAUGAUCAGUCACACUGGAACUGAGACACGGUCCAGACUCCUACGGGAGGCAGCAGUGGGGAAUAUUGGACAAUGGGCGAAAGCCUGAUCCAGCCAUGCCGCGUGUGUGAAGAAGGUCUUCGGAUUGUAAAGCACUUUAAGUUGGGAGGAAGGGCAGUAAGUUAAUACCUUGCUGUUUUGACGUUACCAACAGAAUAAGCACCGGCUAACUUCGU